rnacentral:rRNA from 1 species
CCUACGGGAGGCAGCAGUGGGGAAUAUUGGUCAAUGGGGGGAACCCUGAUCCAGUGACGCCGCGUGAGUGAAGAAGUAUUUCGGUAUGUAAAGCUCUAUCAGCAGGGAAGAAAAUGACGGUACCUGACUAAGAUGCCCCGGCUAACAACGUGACAGCAGCCGCGGUAAUACGGAAGAUUCAAGCGUUAUCCGGAUUUAUUGGGUUUAAAGGGUGCGUAGGCGGUUGGAUAAGGUAGAGGUGAAAUCUCGAGGCUCAACAUCGGGGCUGCCGCUGAUACUGGAGGACUAGAGAUCAGAUGAGGCAGGAGGAAUGUGUAGUGUAGCGGUGAAAUGCAGAGAUAUUACACAGAACACCGAUUGCGAAGGCAGCUUGCUAGGCCGGUUCUGACACUGAUGCACGAAAGCGUGGGGAUCGAACAGGAUUAGAUACCCCUGUAGUC